rnacentral:lncRNA from 1 species
UGUAGACGCUCUCCUUGGCACGCUCCUCCUCGCUUAGCAAGCAGCCCUUGCCGUCGCUGAGGAGGCGCCGCCGGCCGUCGGCCACCGCGGGGGCUGAGGGGGCAUGGAGGCGCGCGGGGAGGGAGGUUAGUGCGGACCGCAUCACCAUGUCGUCGCACUCAAAUCUGCCUGUGGUGGCCUGGUAGGGUUGAAGGGGAGGAGAGCCGCCGAUCAUAGAUCGAGCUAAUGUGGAAUUGAGGUCGGGAGAGCAGACGGGAAGAAGGAAAGAAACUAGGGCGCGUGAUUCGCGGGCACGAUUGAGGUGGGUAGCACGGGCGGGUAAAAAAAAGCGCAGUGUCAAAAUGGGCGCGGGCGGAAUUUAGAACACAACGAAUGAUGAUCCCCCUCGUUCGUCAUAGUUACACAGCUGAAUGGUGGGGCAUCCGUAAAGAGAACACCUAGAUCCUCUUUAAGGGGUACAUGGGUAUUACUCUCGGUGGGAAUUGACAUCAAUUCUUUCGAUUCUUUAUAGUAUAGAUUAUAAGCCGAUCUCUUCUCCUGACAGAUUCUUUUUUUUUAAAUAUCUUUUCUUGAAAGAUCAC